rnacentral:rRNA from 1 species
UACGUAGGGACCAAGCGUUGUCCGGAAUCAUUGGGCGUAAAGCGCGCGUAGGUGGCCAUUUAAGUCCGCUGUGAAAGUCAGAGGCUCAACCUUUGAAAGCCGGUGGAUACUGGAUGGCUAGAGUACGGAAGAGGCGAGUGGAAUUCCUGGUGUAGCGGUGGAAUGCGUAGAGAUGUGGAGGAAUACCGAGUGGCGAAGGCAGCCCCCUGGGCCAACACUGACGCUCAUGGCGACGAAAAGCGUGGGGAGCAAACAGG